AGGGGAAAUGGAGGAAAAGAAGGUAAAGAGCCAUGGAGAGCAACCUCUGUGGAAUAUUCCACGGGUCUAAGCCAUUAUUUGUGGAUUCCAGCGUUCUGAUAAGAAGACUGGAACAGAACUGCACUGAUGGGCCAACUACAAGCCAUCCUUUUCCCGAGUGAUACGUUUGGUCAGUGGACGGUGAAGAUCCCAGGGGGUGUCCUCGGAGAGCAUGGCACGGAGGACAGAAGCAGGAAGAAACAGAGCCCCAAGAAAAGCUGUCAGAGACAAGACUGCAACCUGAAGACUUAAACCUUGCCAGUUUAAACUGGCUCUGUGUAUGGUGAUAAGGAGCCUGGAGGACAGACAGGUUGAAUCAGGAGACAGCUGGAUGGACAUGCUGAUCUGCACUAAGGCCUCUGCACUGUGCAAUUCCUAAGUCUAGACUGGAAGUGAAAUGUAAAGACCUACACAUUACUAGACCAUAUUUUGGAAUAGAAACCAUUUUAGUGUUAAAAAAAAACAACCCCUGAAAUUUGAAAUAAUUGGAAGACUCAGUGAAUAAUAAUGGAUCACCACAAGUUUCUAUUUUUACACAUGUACCAUACCUGUAUAAGAUAUUGUUGGGUCUCUUUGGGGAAGGAAGUAAAGGAAAUUUGGUAUUAGAUUGGCAUCACAUCUAUAAAUAUAAGAUUAUUAAAAACAGAUUUUUUUUUUAAGAAUCAUGAAUAGAGGUACUAAAGUCGAGCUUGAAAACACAACCAAGUAAUUAAGCACGAAUCCAGAAUGCUAAGUGCCACACCCAUCCUUCUUGGGAAGAUUCCCCCGGGUCCCUGGUACCUGGCCUUCAUCCAUGGUCACAAGUUGUCUUCCAUCUAACCCAGCCUCUUUUAACAAGCUUUGGUCCAUUCACUAAGAAAGGUAAACACCUGUCUGCACAUGCUUUGGCCUUCAUACUCUUGACUUAGCAUUUCUGUUUCCUCAAGUGAGAAGAUGUAUUUUUAAUCUUUUCAUCAGUGAAAUCAAUGCAGAAAUUAGUCAUGUCUAUUCUUAGCACAUUGUUUCAAGUGUCAGUUUCUCCAAGCAUCUCACCUAUGCACACCCAGCUUAACUGAAAGAAAUAUAUAUGUAUGUAU